GACGAACGCUGGCGGCGUGCUUAACACAUGCAAGUCGAACGGAAAGGCCCUGCUUUUGUGGGGUGCUCGAGUGGCGAACGGGUGAGUAACACGUGAGUAACCUGCCCUUGACUUUGGGAUAACUUCAGGAAACUGGGGCUCAUACCGGAUAGGAGCUCCUGCUGCAUGGUGGGGGUUGGAAAGUUUCGGCGGUUGGGGAUGGACUCGCGGCUUAUCAGCGUGUUGGUGGGGUAGUGGCUUACCAAGGCCUUGACGGGUAGCCGGCCUGAGAGGGUGACCGGCCACAUUGGGACUGAGAUACGGACCAGACUCCUACGGGAGGCAGCAGUGGGGAAUAUUGCACAGUGGGCGGAAGCGUGAUGCAGCAACGCCGCGUGCGGGAUGACGGCCUUCGGGUUGUAAACCGCUUUCGCCUGUGACGAAGCGUGAGCGACGGUAAUGGGUAAAGAAGCACCGGCUAACUACGUG
rnacentral:rRNA from 1 species